AUUGAACGCUGGCGGCAGGCCUAACACAUGCAAGUCGAACGAGUGGCGGACGGGUGAGUAAUGUCUGGGAAACUGCCCGAUGGAGGGGGAUAACUACUGGAAACGGUAGCUAAUACCGCAUACCAUCGGAUGUGCCCAGAUGGGAUUAGCUAGUUGGUGGGGUAACGGCUCACCAAGGCGACGAUCCGUAGCUGGUUUGAGAGGACGACCAGCCACACUGGGACUGAGACACGGCCCAGACUCCUACGGGAGGCAGCAGUGGGGAAUUUUGGACAAUGGGGGAAACCCUGAUCCAGCCAUCCCGCGUGUGCGAUGAAGGCCUUCGGGUUGUAAAGCACUUUUGGCAGGAAAGCGGUACCUGCAGAAUAAGCACCGGCUAACUACGUGCCAGCAGCCGCGGUAAUAC
rnacentral:rRNA from 1 species